UUUCCGUAGGUGAACCUGCGGAAGGAUCAUUGCAUCGAUUCAAACCCACACCGGUGACUUACUCGAACGUCCAUGUGUUUCUUGCUUCUCCUCCUCUGUGAGAAGCAACAACGCAUGCGCCUGUUCCCGGCCCUCAGUCGUCCGGGGUAUCUACCCUAGAUUGAGGCGCAAGGUCAGGCGGGCCGGGCGGGGAAACUCACCUUUCCCCAUCACCCGGCUGGCCCAAACCCACCCAAAAGAUCCAGAUACCAACCAGCCUGAAGCGAUCGGUGCGCUCUCCAUGUGGGAGCCGCCAACCAAACGAAGACAACUCUCAACAACGGAUAUCUUGGCUCCC
rnacentral:misc_RNA from 1 species